rnacentral:rRNA from 1 species
GAUGAACGCUGGCGGCGUGCCUAAUACAUGCAAGUCGAGCGAACGGACGAGAAGCUUGCUUCUCUGAUGUUAGCGGCGGACGGGUGAGUAACACGUGGAUAACCUACCUAUAAGACUGGGAUAACUUCGGGAAACCGGAGCUAAUACCGGAUAAUAUUUUGAACCGCAUGGUUCAAAAGUGAAAGACGGUCUUGCUGUCACUUAUAGAUGGAUCCGCGCUGCAUUAGCUAGUUGGUAAGGUAACGGCUUACCAAGGCAACGAUGCAUAGCCGACCUGAGAGGGUGAUCGGCCACACUGGAACUGAGACACGGUCCAGACUCCUACGGGAGGCAGCAGUAGGGAAUCUUCCGCAAUGGGCGAAAGCCUGACGGAGCAACGCCGCGUGAGUGAUGAAGGUCUUCGGAUCGUAAAACUCUGUUAUUAGGGAAGAACAUAUGUGUAAGUAACUGUGCACAUCUUGACGGUACCUAAUCAGAAAGCCACGGCUAACUACGUGCCAGCAGCCGCGGUAAUACGUAGGUGGCAAGCGUUAUCCGGAAUUAUUGGGCGUAAAGCGCGCGUAGGCGGUUUUUUAAGUCUGAUGUGAAAGCCCACGGCUCAACCGUGGAGGGUCAUUGGAAACUGGAAAACUUGAGUGCAGAAGAGGAAAGUGGAAUUCCAUGUGUAGCGGUGAAAUGCGCAGAGAUAUGGAGGAACACCAGUGGCGAAGGCGACUUUCUGGUCUGUAACUGACGCUGAUGUGCGAAAGCGUGGGGAUCAAACAGGAUUAGAUACCCUGGUAGUCCACGCCGUAAACGAUGAGUGCUAAGUGUUAGGGGGUUUCCGCCCCUUAGUGCUGCAGCUAACGCAUUAAGCACUCCGCCUGGGGAGUACGACCGCAAGGUUGAAACUCAAAGGAAUUGAUGGGGACCCGCACAAGCGGUGGAGCAUGUGGUUUAAUUCGAAGCAACGCGAAGAACCUUACCAAAUCUUGACAUCCUUUGACAACUCUAGAGAUAGAGCCUUCCCCUUCGGGGGACAAAGUGACAGGUGGUGCAUGGUUGUCGUCAGCUCGUGUCGUGAGAUGUUGGGUUAAGUCCCGCAACGAGCGCAACCCUUAAGCUUGGUUGCCAUCAUUAAGUUGGGCACUCUAAGUUGACUGCCGGUGACAAACCGGAGGAAGGUGGGGAUGACGUCAAAUCAUCAUGCCCCUUAUGAUUUGGGCUACACACGUGCUACAAUGGACAAUACAAAGGGCAGCGAAACCGCGAGGUCAAGCAAAUCCCAUAAAGUUGUUCUCAGUUCGGAUUGUAGUCUGCAACUCGACUACAUGAAGCUGGAAUCGCUAGUAAUCGUAGAUCAGCAUGCUACGGUGAAUACGUUCCCGGGUCU